GGAUCAUUAUCAUUUUGAUACUGUAUUUCACUGUACAUUGUAAUUGUCCUGUUAAAACAUUCUUGUUGUGUUAGGAGGCUGGAUAGCUGUCCUUCAAGGAAAGGAGAAUCAAGAGACUUCCUGCCAGGCCCCAAGGAUUUGCUAGUAAUUAUUUUGGCCUCAACAGCCCUUUUGAACUAAGAGACAUUGCCUGAUCAAAUGAACUGCAGCUUGGCUGGAUAAUUGGUCACACACUAAGGCUCAAAACCAAGUUUGGGCAUAUAAGCAUGAAAGCUGCUUUGUGCAGGGAAAUUCUUGCCAGGACUUAAAGAGCAGCAAAAAGAUUGCAUUGGAGGAUGGUGAUGGCUCUGGAAAGAUCUAAACAUCUUAAGAGUUGUAUACCUAUCAUAUUCUCUUGCUUGUUUCUCCAACUCAACUGAAGUGUUUAGCAGUCUUUCUGGUUUGGGCCUACUGGGACAUUUUCAGCCUCAUCACCGCAAUUAAUAAGUAAAAGAUGGCUACUUUCAAAACCAUUUCUGCUACUCCUUCCCAUACUCCUGUAGUUAGGCUCAUGUUUCUUCACAGGUUAAUCAAACCUCUCAACUUUGUUCUCUUGCAAUUUUUUCACAUAUAUUAUAUAAUACACACACACAGAGCUCAAGAGGAUGCCCAUUAGAAAAGCUUAAAAAGGAAACAGACUAAAACAGUUUAGUUGGUGAGAAUGUGAAACUCAAAUAACAACAAAAUGAAUGAUCAAAUUUGUGGCAGAGCACAGGGUGUCUCUGCCACUUUAAGGGCCUGGAGCUGGCAGCCUCCAGGUGCCUGAUUAGGGCAGCCAUUUUGAGGCCUAUAUAAACAAGGCAGUUUGGCUGCAGAAGGGCAGGCAGCAACAUCACCUGGCUGAAAGGCUGCUGUGAAUGAUCUGGAGGCUUGAAGGAGAAUUACUGAAAAGCUGAAGCUGUCUCAUCAAUCUACAAUGCAAACUUUGCUGGGAAAGUUUCCUGUUACACACAAUAUACUGGGGUCUGCAGCAAAGUGGACCAUACCACAUAGUCUGUGGCAAACACCAGGGAACUUCCCAGUGACCUUAACUGCUUAAAAGGUUUCAGAAUGCACACGAGAGAAACUUGCAUGGUAAAUAAUUAAGCAACCUAUGUAAUGAACACUAUUAUUACAUAUCCCACCAUAAACUACGACUAACAACUUUGCCCUUCUCUUGCACAUUUAAAAAUUAUAAAAUGCCUUACAGAAAUCAAAUAGAAGCCAGGAAGUCUCGAGGCAGUAACAUCUUACAAUUUUAUCUGCUUUACAGAUUGGAACAAUGAAAAUUAAGUGAAUCAAUCACUGGCACAGCUAGGAAAAAAGCCCAGGAGUCAUGACUUAGUCCCCUGCAAAUGCCAUUUCCAGUGUAAUUUAGGGCAUGUCAGGACAUAGAAUUGUUCUUUAUUAACGUUGUAUGUGGACAAGGCAUGAGAUGAACUAUUCUGAACUUUCCACAAUGGUCUUGAAUUUCAGGGCUGUGACCCACUGUCUCCACAGAUUCCUGACAUUUGUCUCACACCCACAUCAGGCAAUGUCUUGAUGGGCCUCGUAUUUGCAAAUUGUGCAGGUACACAUUCCCUAAAACUGCCUAGUCACCGUCAGUUUAAGGGUGGCCUUUAGCAGCAGUGAAACUUUGCAAUACAUGGAUAUUAAUAAUCACAUGAGAAUUGUUCAGGAUGGUGUUCAAGAAGUUGCUCCUUGAAACCUGGUUGCUUUACAGCUGACUCGCACUCUGGAAUGAGAGUGUCCAUGCAGGAAGUCACUUUGGGAUCACUACUGUACUUAAAAAUUCAUCUAAUCUUAGUCCAUGUCAACAAUCAAAUGCAGACACACCCUUUAGCUCCUACUUAACUUCUAUGAUUUGCAUUUUUACUUUGGAGGCUUAAUAACUCCCUGGGACACUGAGUAGUCAAUCACACAUUCUGAGUGAGCAUAAGGGAGGUAUAUAGUGUUAUGCUGAGACUGGGUUAUUCUGAUUUGGUAUUUGCUUACAUCCAUUUUACACAGGUGUAAAUGGUGUCUCAAUGGCUGAGACAGCAAAGGAUUUUUUUCUAGGGACCUGUAAAAGGAAUGGUUGGAAAUUAGGGCUGUGCGAAGCUUCGGGUGGCCAAAUCUCCAAAUCUGAAUCGAACCAGGAGACCAAUUAAAAGGUCCGAAUCAAUUCAAAGCUCGCCAAAGCAAUUCGGAAAAGAUUCAGAGUGCUUCAGAGAUUUGGUUAGUCCCUACUGGCUGCAGCAGGGAGCUGGACCCAGACUCCAUGCUGAUAAGUAGGGGGCAGGA